rnacentral:RNase_P_RNA from 1 species
CUGCCGGCCGCCGGCCGGGAGAGGAAAGUCCGGGCAACGCAGAGCGCCACGCAAGCUAAUGACUUGACAGCCGUGAGGUUGUGGGAGCGUAACAGAGAACGACCGCCCGCAGGCGGGCAUUCGCGGAACGGACGGAGCCUUCGGGGUUCCGGGCCGCGCUCCGGAGAGUGUCCGGCGGGUAAGGGUGAAAAGGCGGGGUAAGAGCCCACCGCGGGGGCAGCGAUGUCGCCCGGCAGUACGUCCCGUGGGUUGCAAGACCGUGUAUACCGGCAAUCAAGGGUUGCUCGCCCGAUGUCGGGGGGUAGGUUGCUUGAGACGGCGGGAGACCGCCGCCGUAGAUAAAUGACAGAGACCCGGGGUCUGCCCCGGGGACAGAACCCGGCUUACAGGA